AUUGAACGCUGGCGGCAUGCCUUACACAUGCAAGUCGAACGGUAACAGGGUGCUUGCACCGCUGACGAGUGGCGAACGGGUGAGUAAUGCGUCGGAACGUGCCGAGUAGUGGGGGAUAACGCAGCGAAAGUUGUGCUAAUACCGCAUACGUACUGAGGUAGAAAGUGGGGGACCUUCGGGCCUCACGCUAUUCGAGCGGCCGACGUCUGAUUAGCUAGUAGGUGAGGUAAAGGCUCACCUAGGCGACGAUCAGUAGCGGGUCUGAGAGGAUGAUACGCCACACUGGGACUGAGACACGGCCCAGACUCCUACGGGAGGCAGCAGUGGGGAAUUUUGGACAAUGGGCGGAAGCCUGAUCCAGCCAUGCCGCGUGUCUGAAGAAGGCCUUCGGGUUGUAAAGGACUUUUGUCAGGGAGGAAAUCCCUAGUGCUAAUAACACUGGGGGAUGACGGUACCUGAAGAAUAAGCACCGGCUAACUACGUGCCAGCCGCCGCCGUAA
rnacentral:rRNA from 1 species